rnacentral:rRNA from 1 species
CUGGCGGAAGGAUCAUUA